CAAUUCUCUUCCAGUCUGCACUCCCUUCCAAACUACUUAUUUUUGUGUGUCUUUACAAAUAGGACAAUGGGGAAAAUUAAAAGUAAUCACAGGCAGUGAAGAAUGGGUUAGGUUUCCUGUUUUGAACUCACACAUGGUUUUUUCUUCCACAGUGGUCUUCUGGGAUGAAAUAUAUCCAUGAAAGUUACCUUAAGUUGCUAUAGAAUUUGAAAACUAUAGACCUGGGUUUAAAUUUCUGCUUCACUACCAACUAGCUAUAUGAAAUGGGCAUAUUACAACAUGCAUCCUCAACAUGCAGAGACCUAUUUGAAAUUCGCUCCUUGGAGGAGUAGAGAAGAUAGGAAGGCGUGUUACUCGCCUGGGGUGACGAUCUCACCGAACUCCAACCCUUAGUUUUACCCUGGAAGCCUCUUUCUGAAGACUGCAGCUGAGGCUGAGAACAAGAGUAAGAGUACAUCUUCUCAUAAGAAGGUAAGAGGCCUGAGGUAAGAAGGUAAAAGAGUCUCAUUGUUUCUGUCACUUCUUAUGUAUUAAAAGGUCACAGAAGCAGCUCAAGUCAGAAAGAAAUGUGCCCAGGACAGAGCUGAUGGUGGAGGCAAAAGAGAUGGACGGGGUGGUAGUCUUUGCAAAACAUAUCUAUGUGGUUGAAUUCCAGGAAAUUGUGUUUUAAAUUAAAUUUAGAGCAUUUUUUUCUCCAAGAAAAGGAUGGGGAAAAUAAUUAUACAAUUUGUAUACUGUGUAAAAAUCACAAUCAUAGGCAUCUAUGGAGAGAGAAGCUAUUGAACUGGCGCAAUAAUUGUUUUCAACUUUUUCUUUAAGAUUUGUCUGCUGUUACUUCUGUUGUUUUGUCAUCUGUUAGCACUCAUUCAUGCCACUCAAUAAAGACCUCUUAAGACCACUAUGUCCCUGCUACUGAAUGAAUGCUAGCUCUUGAGGACACCGUGAAGACUAUCCCUCAGUGUCUGCCUUGGAAUUUGUCACCUAUUGAAAACUAUAGCAAGCAGGUGGUGACAAUACAGAGGGGUCAUGCUACAGCGGAUGCGCACACCUAGUCCAACGAAGGCACCUGAGAUGGACAUCUGAAUCAAGUCUGGUGUCAUAGAAGGCAUGGCUAGAAAAGGAGGCUGGGAUUAAACAUCAUCUAUUCUGUCACUGGAAGGAUGGGAAGGAUUUUGCUAGAACAAGAAUGGUGGGAAGGUAAGGAAGGAGCAAGGGAUAUUUUAGGCAAAGGGACUAGUGAGUGCAAGAACAAAGGAGUUGAACAAAGAGAAAGUGUCCGUAGUUCUAGGAACGGCUAAAGGGAUCAGUGUGAUGCGGCUAUCACAGUAGAUAAAUAGUAGGCUGUAAGGGUAUAUGAAAAAGUAUCUGAGGAAAACUAAACAUUGAGAAA
rnacentral:lncRNA from 1 species